rnacentral:rRNA from 1 species
AUUGAACGCUGGCGGCAUGCCUUACACAUGCAAGUCGAACGGCAGCGGGGGAGAAGCUUGCUUUUCCUGCCGGCGAGUGGCGAACGGGUGAGUAAUACAUCGGAACGUGCCCUGUUGUGGGGGAUAACUAGUCGAAAGAUUAGCUAAUACCGCAUACGACCUGAGGGUGAAAGUGGGGGACCGCAAGGCCUCAUGCUAUAGGAGCGGCCGAUGUCUGAUUAGCUAGUUGGUGGGGUAAAGGCCUACCAAGGCGACGAUCAGUAGCUGGUCUGAGAGGACGAUCAGCCAAACUGGGACUGAGACACGGCCCAGACUCCUACGGGAGGCAGCAGUGGGGAAUUUUGGACAAUGGGCGAAAGCCUGAUCCAGCAAUGCCGCGUGUGUGAAGAAGGCCUUCGGGUUGUAAAGCACUUUUGUCCGGAAAGAAAUGGCUCUGGUUAAUACCUGGGGUCGAUGACGGUACCGGAAGAAUAAGGACCGGCUAACUACGUGCCAGCAGCCGCCGUAA